rnacentral:rRNA from 1 species
GAUGAACGCUGGCGGCGUGCCUAAUACAUGCAAGUCGAGCGAACGGAUGAGAAGCUUGCUUCUCUGAUGUUAGCGGCGGACGGGUGAGUAACACGUGGAUAACCUACCUAUAAGACUGGGAUAACUUCGGGAAACCGGAGCUAAUACCGGAUAAUAUUUUGAACCGCAUGGUUCAAAAGUGAAAGACGGUCUUGCUGUCACUUAUAGAUGGAUCCGCGCUGCAUUGGCUAGUUGGUAAGGUAGCGGCUUACCAAGGCAACGAUGCAUAGCCGACCUGAGAGGGUGAUCGGCCACACUGGAACUGAGACACGGUCCAGACUCCUACGGGAGGCAGCAGUAGGGAAUCUUCCGCAAUGGGCGAAAGCCUGACGGAGCAACGCCGCGUGAGUGAUGAAGGUCUUCGGAUCGUAAAACUCUGUUAUUAGGGAAGAACAUAUGUGUAAGUAACUGUGCACAUCUUGACGGUACCUAAUCAGAAAGCCACGGCUAACUACGUG